CUCUGCGUCCUGAUCUGUCCCUGCUGUGGUUGUGGUUGGUCUUGUGGCCUAGGAACCUCCUUUUCUCCUGCCCUGUGACUGUUGCUUCUUCAUGACCCAUCUCAGAGGUGAUUUUCCCAGAUGGAAGGCUUUGAUGUGCGACAGAUGUUUUCAUACGGUGCUGAAGUUUUCUGUUUUCUGCUGGACAGGUAAUUAACUUAAAUUUGUCAGACUUUGGUGAUGUAAAUGAAAACUGUUGUUUGAUAUCUGUAGCUAGAAGCUCUCAGAGAUGUCAUGUCAGUGGUGUAAAAUAUGUACUUGGAUUAAUUUCAUAUAGUGUGUGUCUC